AGUCUGAGUAGAAGCAGUCAGGAAUCGCCAGACACGCGACUUCGGGUCAUUGCUCAGUCG
rnacentral:ncRNA from 1 species